AGUAAUAUAAUCCAUUUUGUAUUCUUUGGUUUGAGACACUAUAAGCAUAAAAAAUAAAGUAAUCAGAUUGAGUUUUUUUGUUCUUCAGAAUGAGUGGUUUGCUUGAUUGGAGAGUAAUAGAUGGCACGUGAGGUGGAAAGCCCCUCUGUUUUGACUCGAUCCUCAUUUCAGAUGCCCAUUCCUCUCUUCUCGACACCGUUCGUAUUCUUAUGAGCUUCUUCUGCAAUUUCUGCAUAAGUCUCAAUCUACCACUGUACUUGGUAUUAUCAAUGAGCAUAUCAACUUUCAAGUUUCUCCUGGACAGCCCAACUCAAUUUCUGAUGAUGCGGAGGCUGUUAUAUUGACUGGCAGUAGCCAGGAUGCAGUCAGUCAGAUUAAUCAGAAGGAAAUACAUUGGGGGGUGAGUCAACAAAGUUAUCUUGUUUCAAUCGGGUUUGCUUUUUUCUGUUACCCCCUCUUUGUGCUCUGAGUAUUACACUUAUGAUCCAUUGAUUCAUGUUGGUAUGUUGAAGUUAAAAUGGAAUCUAAAUGUCUUUUAUUCAUUCCUUUUUCAUUUGUCUUCUGAUCUCAGUAUUUAUCACAUGUUUUUCCCUUUUUCAUUUUCAUUCAAAAUUAUUUAGGAAUGAUAAGCAUCAUUCUUCUUUUCUAAAUUAAUUAUUUAAAACUUGGUCAACCUACAGAGAGUUAUUUAGUAGCCUAAAAGAGGUUUUUUUUUUCUUUCUAUAUGACA